rnacentral:rRNA from 1 species
GUGUCAGCAGCCGCGGUAAAACGUAGGAGGCGAGCGUUAUCCGGAUUUACUGGGUGUAAAGCGUGUGCAGGCGGCUCGAUAAGUUGGAUGUGAAAGCUCCCGGCUCAACUGGGAGAGGUCGUACAAGACUGUCGGGCUUGAGGAUGGUAGGGGAAGGUGGAAUUCCGGGUGUAGUGGUGAAAUGCGUAGAUAUCCGGAGGAACACCAGUGGCGAAGGCGGCCUUCUGGACCAUGACUGACGCUCAGACACGAAAGCUAGGGUAGCAAACGGGAUUAGAAACCCUCGUAGUCC